AGUGAACGCUGGCGGCAGGCCUAAUACAUGCAAGUCGAACGGCAGCACAGCAGAGCUUGCUCUGUGGGUGGCGAGUGGCGGACGGGUGAGGAAUACAUGGGAAUCUGCCCAGUCGUGGGGGAUAACGUAGGGAAACUUACGCUAAUACCGCAUGCGCCCUUCGGGGGAAAGCCGGGGACCUUCGGGCCUGGCGCGAUUGGAUGAGCCCAUGUCGGAUUAGCUAGUUGGCGGGGUAAGGGCUCACCAAGGCGAAGAUGGUUAGGGGUUUUGAGAGAGAGACCCCCCACAUUGGAACUGAGAGACGGUCCAGACUCCUACGGGAGGCAGCAGUAGGGAAUAUUGGGCAAUGGGCGAAAGCCUGACCCAGCCAUGCCGCGUGAAGGAAGACGGCCUUAUGGGUUGUAAACUUCUUUACUAUACGAAUAGAGGUUAGUACGAGUUACUAAUAGGAAGGUAGUAUAGCAAAAAGCACCGGCUAACUCCGUG
rnacentral:rRNA from 1 species